GCAGAAGGCUGGACGGCCGCUUUCAGAGGGUCACCCUUUGCGAGAGGAAAGUCCGGACUCCAUAAAGCAACGGUGCCGGGUAACGCCCGGGCGGGGGAACCCGACGGAAAGCGCCACAGAAAUGAAACCGCCUGCUUUUGCAGGUAAGGGUGAAACGGUGGAGUAAGAGACCACCGCGCCCCUGGCAACAGGGGUGGCAAGGCAAGCCCCACCGGGAGCAAUGCCAAAUAGGGUCCCCGCGCGGGCAGGUCGGAGCAAUCCGAAACCGCCGCUAGGCGCGCUUUAGCCGAGAGGGACCGGGUUGGCAGCUAGAGGUGCAUAGCAAUGUGCAUCGCAGAUGAAUGGUCGUCGAUCCCGGAGCCAUGGCUCCGGGGGGACAAAAUCCGGCUUACAGGCCUUCUGCGCAG
rnacentral:RNase_P_RNA from 19 species